AGCUCCAAUAGUAUAUAUUAGUGUUGUUGCAGUUAAAACGCUCGUAGUUGGAUUUUGGGAUGGCACGCGUGGUCCGCCGAAAGGUGUGUACUGCGUGGGUUGUUCUUCCUUCUGAAACGGCGCAUGCUCUUCAUCGGGUGUGUUGUUGGUUCAGGAAAUUUACUUUGAAUAAAUAAGAGUGUUCAAAGCAGGCUUACGCUUGAAUACAUUAGCAUGGAAUAAUAGAAUAGGACUUUGGUUCUAUUUUGUUGGUUUCUAGGACCAAAGUAAUGAUUAAUAGGGAUAGUUGGGGCCGUUAGUAUUUAAUUGUCAGAGGUGAAAUUCUUGGAUUUAUGAAAGACUAACUUCUGCGAAAGCAUUCGGCAAGCAUGUUUUCAUUAAUCAAGAACGAAAGUACGCA
rnacentral:rRNA from 1 species